AGGCGGUCUUUCAAGUCAGGAGUGAAAGGCUACGGCUCAACCGUAGUAAGCGCUUGAAACUGGGAGACUUGAGUGCAGGAGAGGAGAGUGGAAUUCCUAGUGUAGCGGUGAAAUGCGUAGAUAGUAGGAGGAACACCAGUUGCGAAGGCGGCUCUCUGGACUGUAACUGACGCUGAGGCACGAAAGCGUGGGGAGCAAACAGGAUUAGAUACCCUGGUAGUCCACGCUGUAAACGAUGAGUACUAGGUGUCGGGGGUUACCCCCUUCGGUGCCGCAGCUAAC
rnacentral:rRNA from 1 species